AAAGAAGCCAAAGAAGGACACCCCCUCAGGGCUCUGCAUGCUGCAUUCUGGUCUCUGGGCUCUGGACUUCGGAGUUCUAGGCUUUCUCCCCUGUGUUCUGCACUCCGGCCCCUGGGCUCCAGACUCUGCAUUGAAGUCUCCAUGAAAUUGAAGUGCUCCUGCAGGGGCCCCUCUCAGUGAACUGACUGACAGGACCGUGCCUGGCUUCAGAGGACAGGAAUCCAAGCCCACCCCAGCACAGCAAGGGCCCUAGUGAACCCACCAUGAACUGGGCUGCAGUGAUACCUGGGCUCAUCGUCCUGGUUCUGAAAGUGAUCGGAUCAACCCUGUUCCUCCAGUACUUUUCAGAGAUCUUUCCACCUGUGACCUUCAGUGACUCAGACCUACUCAAUGCCACCAACAGGAGCAGCGGGACAGGUAACCUUGGCAUCAGGGUGACGGGGACGACAGACAACACUCACUCCACCAUCGUCCCUUUUACCUCUCAAAAGCCCUUUCCCUCCCAACCCCCUGGGGAGGAAAUAAUGGGGUGGGAGACACGCCCCCCCCAUCUUGCAGAUAAGGAAA